rnacentral:rRNA from 1 species
UUAGAGUUUGAUCCUGGCUCAGGAUGAACUCUUGCGGCAGGCUUAACACAUGCAAGUCGAGGGGCAGCGCGGGUGGCAACACCUGGCGGCGACCGGCGCACGGGUGCGUAACGCGUAUGGAACCUGCCCACCGCAGGGGGAUAGCCCGUCGAAAGGCGGAUCAAUACCCCAUGGUCCCUAUGGCCCGCAUGGGCUAUUGGAUAAAGAUUUAUCGGCGGUGGAUGGCCAUGCGUGCCAUUAGCUGGUUGGUGGGGUAACGGCCCACCAAGGCGAUGAUGGCUAGGGGGUCUGAGAGGAUGGUCCCCCACACUGGUACUGAGACACGGACCAGACUCCUACGGGAGGCAGCAGUGAGGAAUAUUGGUCAAUGGGCGGAAGCCUGAACCAGCCAUGCCGCGUGCAGGAUGACGGCCCUACGGGUUGUAAACUGCUUUUGCGCGGGAAGAAUAACCCCCUCGUGAGGGGGGAUGCCGGUACCGCGCGAAUAAGGAUCGGCUAACUCCGUGCCAGCAGCCGCGGUAAUACGGAGGAUCCGAGCGUUAUCCGGAUUUACUGGGUUUAAAGGGUGCGUAGGCGGGCUCUUAAGUCUGCGGUGAAAGUCGGCGGCUCAACCGUCGGAUUGCCGUGGAUACUGGGGGCCUUGGGUACGGUCGGGGCCGGCGGAAUGCGUGGUGUAGCGGUGAAAUGCUUAGAUAUCACGCGGAACGCCGAUCGCGAAGGCAGCUGGCCAGGCCGUUACCGACGCUGAGGCACGAAAGCGUGGGGAUCAAACAGGAUUAGAUCCCCUGGUAGUCCACGCUGUAAACGCUGUACAGGGGGUGCCGGCGACACAACCGUCGGGUGCCUGAGCGAAAAGCAUUAAGUGAUCCACCUGGGGGAGUACGAUCGCAAGGUUGAAACUCAAAGGGAAUGACGGGGGCCCCGCACAAGCGGAGGAACAUGUGGUUUAAUUCGAUGAUACGCGAGGAACCUUACCCGGGCUCGAACGGUGCAUGAAUAUACGAGAGAUUGUAUAGUCCUUCGGGACAUGUAUCGAGGUGCUGCAUGGUUGUCGUCAGCUCGUGCCGUGAGGUGUCGGCUUAAGUGCCAUAACGAGCGCAACCCUUGUCAUUAGUUGCCAUCAGGUCAAGCUGGGGACUUUAAUGAGACUGCCACCGUAAGGUGUGAGGAAGGGGGGGAUGACGUCAAAUCAGCACGGCCCUUAUGUCCGGGGCGACACACGUGUUACAAUGGGAGGUACAGAGGGCAGCUAUCCGGUGACGGAAUGCUAAUCUCCAAAACCUUUCUCAGUUCGGAUUGGAGUCUGCAACUCGACUCCAUGAAGGUGGAUUCGCUAGUAAUCGCGCAUCAGCCAUGGCGCGGUGAAUACGUUCCCGGGCCUUGUACUCACCGCCCGUCA